CCGGGUCGACCACGAUCCAACCCUAAAUACUAAUACCAGAUCGAUAGUGCACAAGUACCGUGAGGGAAAGGUGAAAAGAACUGAGGUGAUCAGAGUGAAAUAGAACCUGAAACCAUUUGCUUACAAUCAUUCAGAGCCCUAUGUAGCAAUACAGGGUGAUGGACUGCCUUUUGCAUAAUGAGCCUGCGAGUUGUGGUGUCUGGCAAGGUUAAGCAAACGCGAAGCCGUAGCGAAAGCGAGUCUGAAUAGGGCGCUUAGUCAGAUGCUGCAGACCCGAAACGAAGUGAUCUAUCCAUGAGCAAGUUGAAGCUAGUGUAAGAACUAGUGGAGGACUGAACCCAUAGGCGUUGAAAAGCCCCGGGAUGACUUGUGGAUAGGGGUGAAAGGCCAAUCAAACUUCGUGAUAGCUGGUUCUCUCCGAAAUAUAUUUAGGUAUAGCGUUGUGUCGUAAUAUAAGGGGGUAGAGCACUGAAUGGGCUAGGGCAUACACCAAUGUACCAAACCCUAUCAAACUCCGAAUACCUUAUAUGUAAUCACAGCAGUCAGGCGGCGAGUGAUAAAAUCCGUCGUCAAGAGGGAAACAACCCAGACUACCAGCUAAGGUCCCUAAAUCUUACUUAAGUGGAAAACGAUGUGAAGUUACUUAAACAACCAGGAGGUUGGCUUAGAAGCAGCCAUCCUUUAAAGAAAGCGUAAUAGCUCACUGGUCUAGUGAUUUUGCGCGGAAAAUAUAACGGGGCUAAAGUAAGUACCGAAGCUGUAGACUUGCACACAACUUAGAUUAUUUAAGUUUAGAAUAUGAGAAACUAAGUUAUAUGUUUAGUUAUAUUUUUACUGAUUUUUAUAGAGUAAAGAUAGAAAUAAAACUUAGUAAAAUCAGUAAAAAUAUUCUUAGACUAAAGUUAAGUAGUUUAAGUUGUGUGCAAGUGGUAGGAGAGCGUUCUAUUUGCGUCGAAGGUAUACCGGUAAGGAGUGCUGGAGCGAAUAGAAGUGAGCAUGCAGGCAUGAGUAGCGAUAAUUAAUGUGAGAAUCAUUAACGCCGUAAACCCAAGGUUUCCUACGCGAUGCUCGUCAUCGUAGGGUUAGUCGGGUCCUAAGUCGAGUCCGAAAGGGGUAGACGAUGGCAAAUUGGUUAAUAUUCCAAUACCAACAUUAGUGUGCGAUGGAAGGACGCUUAGGGCUAAGGGGGCUAGCGGAUGGAAGUGCUAGUCUAAGGUCGUAGGAGGUUAUACAGGCAAAUCCGUAUAACAAUACUCCGAGAACUGAAAGGCUUUUUGAAGUCUUCGGAUGGAUAGAAGAACCCCUGAUGCCGUCGAGCCAAGAAAAGUUUCUAAGUUUAGCUAAUGUUGCCCGUACCGUAAACCGACACAGGUGGGUGGGAUGAGUAUUCUAAGGCGCGUGGAAGAACUCUCUUUAAGGAACUCUGCAAAAUAGCACCGUAUCUUCGGUAUAAGGUGUGGUUAGCUUUGUAUUAGGAUUUACUCCGAAAGCAAGGAAACUUACAACAAAGAGUCCCUCCCGACUGUUUACCAAAAACACAGCACUCUGCUAACUCGUAAGAGGAUGUAUAGGGUGUGACGCCUGCCCGGUGCUCGAAGGUUAAUUGAUGGGGUUAGCAUUAGCGAAGCUCUUGAUCGAAGCCCGAGUAAACGGCGGCCGUAACUAUAACGGUCCUAAGGUAGCGAAAUUCCUUGUCGGUUAAAUACCGACCUGCAUGAAUGGCGUAACGAGAUGGGAGCUGUCUCAAAGAGGGAUCCAGUGAAAUUGUAGUGGAGGUGAAAAUUCCUCCUACCCGCGGCAAGACGGAAAGACCCCGUGGACCUUUACUACAGCUUGACACUGCUACUUGGAUAAGAAUGUGCAGGAUAGGUGGGAGGCUUUGAGUAUAUGACGCCAGUUGUAUAUGAGCCAUUGUUGAGAUACCACUCUUUCUUAUUUGGGUAGCUAACCAGCUUGAGUUAUCCUCAAGUGGGACAAUGUCUGGUGGGUAGUUUGACUGGGGCGGUCGCCUCCCAAAUAAUAACGGAGGCUUACAAAGGUUGGCUCAGAACGGUUGGAAAUCGUUCGUAGAGUAUAAAGGUAUAAGCCAGCUUAACUGCAAGACAUACAAGUCAAGCAGAGACGAAAGUCGGUCUUAGUGAUCCGGUGGUUCUGUGUGGAAGGGCCAUCGCUCAAAGGAUAAAAGGUACCCCGGGGAUAACAGGCUGAUCUCCCCCAAGAGCUCACAUCGACGGGGAGGUUUGGCACCUCGAUGUCGGCUCAUCGCAUCCUGGGGCUGGAGCAGGUCCCAAGGGUAUGGCUGUUCGCCAUUUAAAGCGGUACGCGAGCUGGGUUCAGAACGUCGUGAGACAGUUCGGUCCCUAUCUGCCGUGGGCGUAAGAAGAUUGAAGAGAUUUGACCCUAGUACGAGAGGACCGGGUUGAACAAACCACUGGUGUAGCUGUUGUUCUGCCAAGAGCAUCGCAGCGUAGCUAAGUUUGGAAAGGAUAAACGCUGAAAGCAUCUAAGCGUGAAGCCAACUCUAAGAUGAAUCUUCUCUAAGCUCUCUAGAAGACUACUAGUUUGAUAGGCUGGGUGUGUAAUGGAUGAAAGUCCUUUAGCUGACCAGUACUAAUAGAGCGUUUGGCUUAUCUUUAAUAAAGCAU
rnacentral:rRNA from 1 species